rnacentral:rRNA from 1 species
CGUACACUCCUGCGGGAGGCAACAGUGGGGAAUAUUGGACAAUGGGCGCAAGCCUGAUCCAGCCAUGCCGCGUGAGUGAUGAAGGCCCUAGGGUUGUAAAGCUCUUUCACCGGUGAAGAUAAUGACGGUAACCGGAGAAGAAGCCCCGGCUAACUUCGUGCCAGCAGCCGCGGUAAUACGAAGGGGGCUAGCGUUGUUCGGAUUUACUGGGCGUAAAGCGCACGUAGGCGGACUAUUAAGUCAGGGGUGAAAUCCCGGGGCUCAACCCCGGAACUGCCUUUGAUACUGGUAGUCUUGAGUUCGAGAGAGGUGAGUGGAAUUCCGAGUGUAGAGGUGAAAUUCGUAGAUAUUCGGAGGAACACCAGUGGCGAAGGCGGCUCACUGGCUCGAUACUGACGCUGAGGUGCGAAAGCGUGGGGAGCAAACAGGAUUAGAAACCCCAGUAGUCCCAUG